GCACUGUUGAACUAGUCACUAGUUGGAGGAGAGGCGUAAGCUGUAUGGCGGGACAAUUAAACUGCGGUAGCCAAAGAUGAGACGAUCAGCAGCUCCGAGUCAACUGCUGGGGAAUUCAGCCAAAAAGCCAAGAUUUAUACCUCCAGGAAAAAUCCUACAGAAAACAUCUGAGUGUGUAGAUGCAGUAAUUAAAACAGAUGAGGUGUGCGAGAGACAGUUGUGUAGCUCAACGUCUGCAAACAUUUGUUCUAUAACUUCUGGCUUCCGUUCUUCUGUGGCUGUAAAAUCUAAGGAAGAAGAAUUUCCCUGUGAAAGUGAGAAUAUGGUGAUUGAGCAUUUGAAAACUGGAAUGAAAU